rnacentral:rRNA from 1 species
GACGAACGCUGGCGGCGUGCCUAAUACAUGCAAGUAGAACGCUGAAGAGAGGAGCUUGCUCUUCUUGGAUGAGUUGCGAACGGGUGAGUAACGCGUAGGUAACCUGCCUUGUAGCGGGGGAUAACGAUUGGAAACGAUAGCUAAUACCGCAUAACAAUAGGUGACACAUGUCAUUUAUUUGAAAGGGGCAAUUGCUCCACUACAAGAUGGACCUGCGUUGUAUUAGUUAGUAGGUGAGGUAACGGCUCACCUAGGCGACGAUACAUAGCCGACCUGAGAGGGUGAUCGGCCACACUGGGACUGAGACACGGCCCAGACUCCUACGGGAGGCAGCAGUAGGGAAUCUUCGGCAAUGGGGGCAACCCUGACCGAGCAACGCCGCGUGAGUGAAGAAGGUUUUCGGAUCGUAAAGCUCUGUUGUAAGUCAAGAACGAGUGUGAGAGUGGAAAGUUCACACUGUGACGGUAGCUUACCAGAAAGGGACGGCUAACUACGUG